AGCUCAAUCAAAUGGCAGCCAGAGACUUGAGCUACUACAUCUAGAUACAGUCCAACCAAGCCACCAGCUAUUGCAUGAUAUGGGAAUAUCUAAAGUCGUGGAGCUGCUUUCCAAAGUGCUGGAAGAAAAUAAAUUGAUGAAAGCGGAAAUUACCAACCUGGGGAGUGAAGUGAGGGCGCUUAGGAGAGAGAUGGUGAGGCCGGUAGCACCAGAAGCUGCCGCUUCGUCCAUCAAGCUGCCUCUGAGGACAAUGGAGGAGUUUCAAUUAGCAGAGGCUGUUAUGAGAGAAACCCCCUGCGAAAAACAAAAGAUGGUAGGUACAAAUCUGCACUACCCAAAAGCUAGUCAAAGUAUAUGUGUAAAUUAAUAAAACCAUACCUCUUCUUUCCAGCC